GAUGAACGCUGGCGGCGUGCCUAAUACAUGCAAGUCGAGCGAACGGACGAGAAGCUUGCUUUUCUGAUGUUAGCGGCGGACGGGUGAGUAACACGUGGAUAACCUACCUAUAAGACUGGGAUAACUUCGGGAAACCGGAGCUAAUACCGGAUAAUAUUUUGAACCGCAUGGUUCAAAAGUGAAAGACGGUCUUGCUGUCACUUAUAGAUGGAUCCGCGCUGCAUUAGCUAGUUGGUAAGGUAACGGCUUACCAAGGCAACGAUGCAUAGCCGACCUGAGAGAGUGAUCGGCCACACGGGAGCUGAGACACGGUCCAGACUACUACGGGAGGCAGCAGUAGGGAAUCUUCCGCAAUAGGCGAAAGCCUGACAGAGCAACGGCGCGUGAGUGAUGAAGAUCUUCGGAUCGUAAAACUCUGUUAUUAGGGAAGAACAUAUGUGUAAGUAACUGUGCACAUCUUGACGGUACCUAAUCAGAAAGCCACGGCUAACUACGUG
rnacentral:rRNA from 1 species